rnacentral:rRNA from 1 species
UGCCAGCAGCCGCGGUAAUACGGAGGGUGCAAGCAUUAAUCGGAUUUAUUGGGCGUAAAGAGCGCGUAGGCGGCUUAUUAAGUCAGGUGUGAAAUUCCAGAGCUCAACUCUGGAGCUGCACUUGAAACUGGUAGGCUUGAGGAUAGGCGGAGAAAACGGAAUUCCACGUGUAGCGGUGAAAUGCGUAGAUAUGUGGAAGAACACCGGUGGCGAAGGCGGUUUUCUAGCUUAUUCCUGACGCUGAGGAACGAAAGCCAGGGGAGCGAAUGGGAUUAGAUA